GAAAAGAGCUACCCUACUAUUAAUACAGUAUCGCAAAAGCAAGCGGCGAUCUGAAUUAGUCAUAUUAUCUCUUGCCAACAAAAGUGACGAUCAUAUCCCAACGAUUUUAAACGCAUUACUUCGAAGAACCUUAAAUCAGGGAAUUAUCCAGAGGGGAAUGUCCAAGCGAAAGGCCGAGGACACACAAUCCGACAAAAUGGCAACCGCCGAGAAAGUAGCACAGAAUGAUUAUACCAUUGGCUUGGUGGAUCCCGUGAAGGAUUACCAAAAACUCAUCGAAACACGCGUGCAGGUAGACGAAAUCGUGGAUGAUGAUGUCACCAAGGAGAAUUUCGAUCGAACGGCUGCAUCGGCGCGUGACGUCAUUUGGCGACUGAUAUUCGACGAUGCCGGUACCUCGCAAUUAAACACAGAGAAGGCCAGCCAAUUGCUGGAGGAAUACCGUGGUGACGCCUGCUUCUACGACCCGAUGCCCUACAACGAGUGGAUUGUCAAGCUGAGGGAUGAGGUUCUGAAGAGGGAGCUCCUUGACUUUUGGCGUGAUGUCCUGGUGAAAAAGCAAUUGGGUCCUUGUUGGUCACGCGACUGUGAUCUCUUUGACAGCGACGACACCCCGCCAUUAGAGUUCUACGCCCACGCCGGAUGUACGGCUCCAUUCGCAGCCAGCUUAAAAGUGCGCGCUGCACAAGAAGAGCAGGCUUCACUGAAUCAGGAUGAGGCAGCGGUGUCCACCACACCGGGUGAACUGAGUGCCGAUGAUGCCGCCGCCCGGUCCGGUGAAUUUGAGGCCGCCCUGACAAAGGAAAAUCCUCUCGAAGAAUACCGCUCGCUAAUGAAGCGCUUUGUCCUGGCCAAAGUCAUCGUUCCGGACAGCAUUCACCAGGCCAGCGUGAAUAAGAUAGCGGCAGCCGCCAGGGAGAUCAUCUGGAAGCUUCUCUUCGAUGGCACACCCUCGGCGGAGGAUCAGAACAAGGCAGCCGAGUUGUUGCAGGAGUACAAGGGUGAUGCUGGAUUCUAUGGUCCGGAUGACUACAACGAUUGGAUUUUCAAGCUGAGGGAUGAGGUUCUAACCAAAGAGCUUCUCGACUUUUGGCGCGAGAAGAUGGUAAAAAUGGAACUGGGUCCCAGUUGCGCCCGUGAUUCCGACUAUUACGACUACGAGGAUCCCCUGCCAUUGGAGUUUUACGAAAAGGCCGGUUGCAAAGCUCCCUUUGAAGCCACUUCAAAUGAUGAUUAGUACCGCAUCAGAGAAUUAGUGGUUGAUGACUCUAGGUCUUUAUACAUAACCAAACAGAAGUUCGAAAAACAUACUCUCCUCAUGUACUAAAGCACCUAUUCUGGUCUGAAUCUCUGAAAGCAAAAAAUGUCAGAAAUUGUUAAUCGAAAAUGAAUAAAAUAAGCCUCUUUUAUAACUGUUCCGUAAAAUA